CUACGGGAGGCAGCAGUCGAGAAUAUUUAGCAAUGGGGGAAACCCUGACUAUGCGACGCCGCGUGCAGGAUGAAGGUUUUCGGAUUGUAAACUGCUUUUUUUAGGAAAGAAACCUUGUCGGUUAAUACCCGGCAAGCUGACGGUACCUGAAGAAUAAGCCACGGCUAACUCCGUGCCAGCAGCCGCAGUAAUACGGAGGUGGCAAGCGUUACUCGGAAUCAUUGGGUGUAAAGGGCAAGUAGGCGGCUUAAUAAGCGAGGGGUGAAAUCUUCCGACUCAAUCGGAAAACUGCCUUUCGAACUAUUAGACUUGAGGCAGGAAGAGGGAAAUGGAAUUUCCGGUGUAAGGGUGAAAUCUGUAGAUAUCGGAAAGAACACCAACGGCGAAGGCAAUUUCCUGGUCCUGUCCUGACGCUAAAUUGCGAAAGCUAGGGUAGCAAACAGGAUUAGAUACCCGUGUAGUC
rnacentral:rRNA from 1 species